rnacentral:rRNA from 1 species
AUGAACCAAUUACACCAGAAAGCCACAGAGUUGUGGUCGUCUUGCUCCGGGUGUUUCAACGAUGGUGGUGGUCAUCCAUGGAGGGGUGCUAGUUGCCGAAGAAGGGCCACGCCACGAGGCUCAGCGAGGAAGGCAGCACGCAGGGAGAGCAGCUGCAGCAGCACAACGUCGCUGCAGACACAGGAGGAGGAAAGCCAUGGCAGAGGAGGGGCUUGUGCACGGGAGGGAGCAGUAAGGCGGCGCUGGAGGGAGGAGGCGCUGGACUUGGGCUCCGGCGGGAGGGAGGAGGAGGCACAAGAGCGCGGCGGACGAGCGGGAGGUUCGCGGGGUCUCGGGCGCGGCGUGCAGAGGAGGCAGCGGCGCGGAGGAUGUAGGAGGGAAGGACGAGGCGUGAUGGAGGAGGAACCAAAGGCGGGGAUGGGGUCCUGUCGACGAGGUUCGACCGGAAACGGGCAGGGCGGUGGAGGCUGGCCUGAUCUGGUGGUGGAAGAGGCAGCAGGAGGUCGCCGGCGCGAGGGAAGGAGAGCAGGGGAACGAAGGGAGAGGGAGGUGGAUCGAAGAAGGGAGCGGCGCUGCUCUCCCUCUCUGAUGGCGCGUCGAGGGAUGACUCGGUCUCUGGCGCUGCGGCGGGAGAAAUGGGAUCGAGGGAGAGAUCGAGAGGACAGGGGUCGAGCAGAUGGCAUCGGGCACGGGCGCUCCUGGCGGCGUGAGGAGGGAGACGAGGGAAGGGAACGAAGGAGAUGGAGAGGGAGCGGCUGGGCCUAG